UGAAUAAGUUUUAUUUAUUUUUUCUAUUUUCUUCUCCCAGUUUUUUAACUUUCUUUUGUUGGCAUGUAAUACAAUUUUGUCUUUUGUCUCUUUAUAGGAAUGGGAGACACAUUUCCCAGAAAUGCACCUUUUCUGUCUUUGAAUCUUUAUUUUUGUGACUUCUGUAAAUUUUCAACACCUAAAAAGAAUGAUUUAGGAAGACAUUUGUUAAUUCAUACAGGUGAACGUCCAUUUCAAUGUGAAAUAUGCCAGAAAAAAUUUGUUAGAAAAACACAUUUGACGAGACAUAAGGAUAUGAUUCAAGAUUGAUUCCAGAAGAAGGUUAUGAUUCAAGAAGCUCAAGCAUCUCCAAGUCAAGAAAUAUUAUUCACUUUUGCCAUUUCUGUGAUUAUACUUCAGUUAGAAAAAAUGAUAUGGAAAGACAUUUGCUCAUACACACAGGAGAGCGUCCAUUUUCGUGUCUACGAUGCCCCAAGAGUUUCAACCGAAAGUCUCAUUUGAAAAGACAUUAUAUUACCGUUCAUUUUAUAAAUGAGGAAUGAAUUUGUUAAUAUUUUACAUUAUGGAUAUCAAAGUGCCUCUUAUAAUAUAGAAUAGUGUUUACUGUGAUAAUGCAGAACAGUGGAAUACUAUUGGAUUGAAUCAGAGAUGUAUUAAUACUCUCUUUCAUUUAUGGUGGUAAUGUUCUUUUUUUUACUUGUUCAUUUGCUAUGAGAAAGCUCUGAAUUUGGCUAGGAAAUUUUUUUUCUCCUAAGGUUUGAUAUUCAGAUGGUUACGACAACAAAAUUAUAAAUUUUUAAUUUCAAAAUAGUUGGAUAAAAAUGAGUAACUACUAAAUGAAACUGUUAAUUUAUAAAACCAAAGAAGAAUUGAUAGAAAUAUAUUCAAAAUUUGUCCUUAGAUGGCACUAAUAACUGAAAAAGCUAUAUAAAAUUAUCUUUUAGCUGCAUAUCAAAUCAUACUACCUGAAAUAUUUGAAAAGACACCUGUUAGAUUUAUCCCCAUAUUGCGCCACAUUGUAGCUUCAAGUUUUGUUAUUUUUAAAACAUGCUUAUUCUCCGGAUAUUAUAUUUCAUUAUUAUAUUGUUAUUUUUUUGCCAAGAUUUUUAUAGUUUUUCUCAAUUAGCAAUGCCAUCUGUUGACUAACUCUGUAACUAACUUUGAAGGUUGCUGAGAGAAAAAAAAACUAAUAUUUAAGUUCAAUGUAGCAUGUUUUAUAUUUCCUUUUCUUCAAUUCAUUUUAUGAAUGGUCUGUCAAUUUAUCAACAACUGGUACACUCUACUUUUUAUAAAGGGAAAUGUAUUGUAUUAUUUUUAUUGUAACUAUUUUCAAUUUGAAACUCUUAACAUGUAGAAAAAGUCCUGACAAUGUAUGAAAGCUCUUUGGCAUUUUUUCUGCUAGCUUAUUAAUUGCACCUAUUAUUAUUUGACCAGAAUUUCCCUCGAUAUUUUUAUUCAUGAAGAAAAGCUGGUGUUCUGUUUUGCAUUGUAGCCAGGUUCUCAAUUAAAAUAUAACAAUUAAAACAUUGGUGAAUGAAUGAAUUAUAUGUUUUAAAAAGAAAAAUUCUUACAAAUAUGCUCUUUUUCAAAAGUAUUAAACUUUUUAAAUUUUAUGUUUCUUGUGUAGAAAGUUUGCAAGGGGAAAAAUAAAUGUACUCAAGUUUGUACGUCUUAAUGCUUCAAAAUAACAAAUAGAUGUGAUAAUGAAAUUUUGCUGAAAAAUAAUGAUGAUCAUUUAGCAUUUUUUUUUACCUUCAACCUUAAAUUCUCUGAAAUAUAGAAAUGUUUCAGCACUUUUUAUAAUAAAUAAUUUUUAAAAAAGUCUCA
rnacentral:lncRNA from 1 species